CCUACGGGAGGCAGCAGUGGGGGAUAUUGCACAAUGGGGGGAACCCUGAUGCAGCGACGCCGCGUGGGUGAAGGAGUGCUUCGGCAUGUAAAGCCCUAUCGGCAGGGAAGAAGCAAGACGGUACCUGACUAAGAAGCCCCGGCUAACUACGUGCCAGCAGCCGCGGUAAUACGUAGGGGGCGAGCGUUAUCCGGAUUCACUGGGUGGAAAGGGAGCGUAGACGGCCAUGCAAGCCAGGGGUGAAAGCCCGGGGCCCAACCCCGGGACUGCCCUUGGGACCGGAUGGCUGGAGUGCGGGAGGGGCAGGCGGAAGUCCUGGUGUAGCGGUGAAAUGCGUAGAUAUCAGGAGGAACACCGGCGGCGAAGGCGGCCUGCUGGACCGCGACUGACGUUGAGGCUCGAAAGCGUGGGGAGCGAACAGGAUUAGAUACCCGUGUAGUC
rnacentral:rRNA from 1 species